CAUUAAGUGACUGAAAUAUAAGUAAUGGUCUCUUAAACCAAUUAAUGGAAUUAACCCCCUUAAUGA
rnacentral:tRNA from 1 species